AGACAUUUUAUAAAUGAUAGGAAAAACUUGUUUUUCUAUUCAUAAUUUAACACUACUGUAUUUUAUAGUUUCUCAUUUAUAUGUUUUUCUCCCCCCUACAGUGAUAAACAACACCUUUUAUGCCCUAGCCUUCAUGCAUCGAAUACAUCAUUCGCUGUAAUGUUCCCAAGAAGCAUGGGAUUGCUCAGACUUCAGCAAACUAACUGGCUUUGACAGCCAGGUCAAAUGACUUCUUGUUUUGGAAGAAAGAACACAGAGGGACAACGGAAGGAGAGGACAAACUUUUCUGCUUCUCCUUUGGACUUCUCUAGGUGAAAUUUCCACAGCUGAUAGUAUUUUCUGAGGGACAGGAGGAAAAAAAAACCCAAGAAAGAAAGUUAAUUUUACAAGGCUGAAAGAUUUUACAAGACUGAAUGGUUUUAAAGGACAGAUUUCCGGCACUUGCUAAACUAUUGAACCUGCUUUUCUUGCUAGAUAAUAAAAUAUUGGCUAUCAAAGUUGCCUAAAUUGAAA